rnacentral:rRNA from 1 species
ACUGCUCAGUAACACGUGGCUAACCUACCCUUGAGACGGAGACAACCCCGGGAAACUGGGGCUAAUCCCAGAUAGAUGAGAACUCCUGGAACGGGUUCUCGUCCAAAAGGCGUCUAGGUCAUGCUUCUAGGCGUCGCUCAAGGAUGGGGCCGCGGCCGAUCAGGCUGUUGGUGAGGCAACGGCUCACCAAACCUUUAACCGGUACGGGCCGUGGGAGCGGGUGCCCGGAGAUGGGAACUGAGACAAGGUCCCAGGCCCUACGGGGCGCAGCCGUUGCGAAAACUCGUCAAUGCACGAAAGUGUGAACGGGCUACCCCGAGUGCUGUCCGCUGAGGAUGGCUUUUCUCUGCUGUAAGGAGGCGGAGGAAUAAGGAGAGGGCAAGUCUGGUGUCAGCCGCCGCGGUAAUACCAGCUCUCCGAGUGGUGGGGAUGUUUAUUGGGCCUAAAGCGUCCGUAGCCUGCCCUUCAAGUCUUUCGUUAAAUCCAGCGAUUCAAUCGUUGGACUGCGGGAGAUACUGUUGGGCUAGGGGGCGGGAGAAGCCGACGGUAUUCCCGGGGUAGGGGUAAAAUCCUAUAAUCCUGGGAGGACCACCAGUGGCGUAGGCGGUCGGCUAGCACGUGCUCGACGGUGAGGGACGAAAGCUGGGGGAGCAAACCGGAUUAGAUACCCGGAUAGUCCCAGCUGUAAACGAUGCGGGCUAGGUGUUGGGGUGGCCACGAGCCACUUCAGUGCCGCAGGGAAGCCAUUAAGCC